rnacentral:rRNA from 1 species
GUGUCAGCAGCCGCGGUAAGACGAACCGUCCGAACGUUAUUCGGAAUCACUGGGCUUAAAGGGUGUGUAGGCGGCCAGCUAAGUAGGGUGUGAAAGGCCUCGGCUCAACCGAGGCAUUGCGCUCUAAACUGACUGGCUUGAGUGAGAUAGGGGUGUGCGGAACUUCCAGUGGAGCGGUGAAAUGUGUUGAUAUUGGAAGGAACGCCGGUGGCGAAAGCGAGCUGCUGGACCUCUUCUGACGCUGAGGCGCGAAAGCUGGGGGAGCAAACGGGAUUAGAUACCCCGGUAGUCC